GCCCUCGUAGCUCAGGGGAUAGAGCGUCUGCCUCCGGAGCAGAAGGCCGCAGGUUCGAUUCCUGCCGAGGGCACAA
rnacentral:tRNA from 3 species